rnacentral:rRNA from 1 species
UGGGGAAUAUUGCACAAUGGGCGAAAGCCUGAUGCAGCGACGCCGCGUGAGGGAUGAAGGCCUUCGGGUUGUAAACCUCUUUCAGUAGGGAAGAAGCGAAAGUGACGGUACCUGCAGAAGAAGCGCCGGCUAACUACGUGCCAGCAGCCGCGGUAAUACGUAGGGCGCAAGCGUUAUCCGGAAUUAUUGGGCGUAAAGAGCUCGUAGGCGGUUUGUCGCGUCUGCCGUGAAAGUCCGGGGCUCAACUCCGGAUCUGCGGUGGGUACGGGCAGACUAGAGUGAUGUAGGGGAGACUGGAAUUCCUGGUGUAGCGGUGAAAUGCGCAGAUAUCAGGAGGAACACCGAUGGCGAAGGCAGGUCUCUGGGCAUUAACUGACGCUGAGGAGCGAAAGCAUGGGGAGCGAACA